UUAAUUAAUUUUAUGCUAGCUCAAUCUUUUCAAGGAGAGCGCGGGGUAAGAGAAAUCACCAGUUAAUGUUUAAAUUUUGAUUUAAUAAUAAUAAAUUACAGGUCCAGACGGGACCUGUUCAAAUUACAGAAAUGUCGUGAAACAAAGAAAUUUGACAUUUAUUAAUUUUGAUCGAUAUUCACAGGGAGAUAACACAUUAUUACUCUUGAGACUCACCGGAGAUGCGCCGACGUCCCCUCAUUGUUCCUCGGCUCAUCUUUUUAGGAGGUUUACACACAAUAAUGUAAUUUUAAUUUAAUUUUUAUUAUGAAAAAGGUCUACUGCGACCUGUCACAAAGACGCCAAAAUGAGAAUGAAUUAAAUGGCCGACGGGAACGCCGAAGCAGACGCGCAUCUUUGCUUCGUGGUGAGUCUGGUAACUAUCAAAAUUCCCCAACGGCAAAUUUCCCCAAGCGGCGUUUGACCCAAUAUGCUAUAGUGAGUGCUGUUUUCGAUGAUGUUGGAGAAAUCUGCAAAAAUGAUAAAAAUGUAGUUGUGAGAAGUCCGCGAGAUGCCGACAUUGUUUCAGUUUGCGUAUUUGUAAAAUUCACAUAGUCGUAGACAUUUUUGUAGAAUUCAGAAAAUAAUAUGAGUGGUGAUCAGGAUUCCUGGUGGUGAUUCAAUAAAUAAAUGUUAUAUAAUUCUAAUUACAAUUUUGUAAAAUGAACUAAUUAAUUAAUUAAUUAAUUAAUUAAUUAAAUAAUUAAGAAGUGACAGAGUUAUUGCCUGUCUUAAUUAAUUAUGUGGAUUGAUUGUCAACAGUUCCAAAUGAAAAAAAAAUAAUGAGAAUAAUAAUGGAUACCAAUUUAGAGCUUUCUGCAAGUGGACAGAGACACCAAAAGAUGUCGAAUCAACCUCAAGGCAACCAGAGACGAGGAAACAAUUUAAAUCGACUUCAAAUUGCUUCAAGACUUGCUUUCAUUAGAGUUAUUGUCAAUUAUUGUUCAUAUUUUUUUUUAAUUAAUAUCAAUUACUACUAUUAAUUAUUACUAAUAUUAGUAUUAAUAGAACAUUUCGUUCGAGAACUAUUUAUUUUAAAAAAAACAUUUUUUUUCAAUAUUUAUAAUUUGUUUUUUCAAUAAAUACAAAUUUUUUUUAAAAACUUUCAAUUCACUUUUUCUAAAUUUUGGAAAUUGUACUAAUUAUACUUAAAAUAUUGACUAAUUUAUCAAACAAAUAGAAUAAUUUAUAAUUCGUUUGCUUCUUGGUUACAUUUCUUGGGAAUGCGUCAUGUAUAUAGUUAAUAUAUUAAUUUGUAAUUUGUAGGAUCUAAAU